rnacentral:rRNA from 1 species
UACGUAGGUUCCGAGCGUUAUCCGGAUUUACUGGGCGUAAAGCGCGUUCAGGCGGUUUGGCAAGUCGGGCAUGAAAUCCUUCGGCUCAACCGGGGGAGGUUGUCCGAUACUGCUGAACUGGAGGGCAGUAGAGGGUGGUGGAAUUCCGGGUGUAGUGGUGAAAUGCGUAGAGAUCAGCAGGAACACCCGUGGCGAAGGCGGCCCCCUGGGCCGUACCUGACGCUGAGGCGCGAAGGCUAGGGGAGCGAACGGG